CGUCUAUUUUACAAUUUAUAUACAGAUGUAUUUUUCAUGGUAUUUCUGUUUCUGCAAUCUAUAGCAUGUAUAGAAUAAGGAGUUGUUACAUUUAUGAAGUUCGGUUUGUCUUUUGUUCACGCAGCUUAUGAUAUGAGUUUUCAUUCUUUGAUUUUUUUUUUUUUUUUGUAUAAAUAAUUGUGUGUUUUCUCAAUAUAGAUUUCUUGAGAAUUAUUCGAAAGGCUCUUAAGUUUCAUAUUAAGCUUGAUGUAAAACUAGGGUUUUCGUAGAUAGAUAAACAAGGUGUCUAGCAAAACGGUCAUGCUACCUUUUGAAUUGCAUUUAUAAACAGGAAUGAUAAGUACUAGCACCGCACGAAACUGUCUGGUCAUUUAGAAAAUGUUAUUGUCGGCAAUGAAUGAAAAGAAUACUACCGUGUCCUUAUAACUAAAU
rnacentral:lncRNA from 1 species